AGUGGUUGAUCACGAGUUAGUCGGUCCUAAGUUCAAGGCGAAAGCCGAAAAUUUUCAAGUAAAACAAAAAUGCCUAACUAUAUAAACAAAGCGAAUAUAAUACACUUGAAUAAUUUUGAACGAAAGGGAAUACGGUUCCAAUUCCGUAACCUGUUGAGUAUCCGUUUGUUAUUAAAUAUGGGCCUCGUGCUCAUCCUGGCAACAGGAACGACCAUAAAGAAGCCGUCGAGAGAUAUCGGAAGAGUUUUCUUUUCUGUUUUAUAGCCGUACUACCAUGGAAGUCUUUCGCAGAGAGAUAUGGUAGAUGGGCUAGAAGAGCAUGACAUAUACUGUUGUGUCGAUAUUUUCUCCUCGGACCUUGAAAAUUUAUGGUGGGGACACGCAAACUUCUCAACAGGCCGUACCAAUAUCCGCAGCUGGUCUCCAAGGUGAAGAGUCUCUAGUCGAUAGAAUAAUGUAGGUAAGGGAAGUCGGCAAAUUAGAUCCGUAACUUCGGGAUAAGGAUUGGCUCUGAAGAUUGAGAUAGUCGGGCUUGAUUGGGAAACAAUAACAUGGUUUAUGUGCUCGUUCUGGGUAAAUAGAGUUUCUAGCAUUUAUGUUAGUUACUUGUUCCCCGGAUAGUUUAGUUACGUAGCCAAUUGUGGAACUUUCUUGCUAAAAUUUUUAAGAAUACUAUUUGGGUUAAACCAAUUAGUUCUUAUCAAUUAUAACGAUUAUCAAUUAACAAUCAAUUCAGAACUGGCACGGACUUGGGGAAUCCGACUGUCUAAUUAAAACAAAGCAUUGUGAUGGCCCUAGCGGGUGUUGACACAAUGUGAUUUCUGCCCAGUGCUCUGAAUGUCAAAGUGAAGAAAUUCAAGUAAGCGCGGGUCAACGGCGGGAGUAACUAUGACUCUCUUAAGGUAGCCAAAUGCCUCGUCAUCUAAUUAGUGACGCGCAUGAAUGGGAUUAACGAGAUUCCUACUGUCCCUAUCUACUAUCUAGCGAAACCACAGCCAAGGGAACGGGCUUGGAAUAAUUAGCGGGGAAAGAAGACCUUUUGAGCUUGACUCUAAUCUGGCAGUGUAAGGAGACAUAAGAGGUGUAGAAUAAGUGGGAGAUAUUAGACCUCGGUUUGGUAUCGUCAAUGAAAUACCACUACUCUUAUUGUUUCCUUACUUACUUGAUUAAAUGGAACGUGUAUCAUUUCCUAGCCAUUAUACGGAUAUAUUUAUUAUAUCUUAUGGUAUUGGGUUUUGAUGCAAGCUUCUUGAUCAAAGUAUCACGAGUUUGUUAUAUAAUCGCAAACAAAUUCUUUAAUAAAACGAUGCAUUUAUGUAUUUUUGAUUUGAAAAUUUGGUAUAACUCCAAUUACUCAGGUAUGAUCCAAUUCAAGGACAUUGCCAGGUAGGGAGUUUGACUGGGGCGGUACAUCUCUCAAAUAAUAACGGAGGUGUCCCAAGGCCAGCUCAGUGCGGACAGAAACCACACAUAGAGCAAAAGGGCAAAUGCUGACUUGAUCUCGGUGUUCAGUACACACAGGGACAGCAAAAGCUCGGCCUAUCGAUCCUUUUGGUUUAAAGAGUUUUUAACAAGAGGUGUCAGAAAAGUUACCAUAGGGAUAACUGGCUUGUGGCGGCCAAGCGUUCAUAGCGACGUCGCUUUUUGAUCCUUCGAUGUCGGCUCUUCCUAUCAUUGUGAAGCAAAAUUCACCAAGCGUUGGAU
rnacentral:rRNA from 1 species